UCUGAAAAUGCCUCCACGGGCGCACUCAAG
rnacentral:piRNA from 1 species